rnacentral:rRNA from 1 species
AGACCCGAAACCCGGUGAUCUAGCCAUGGGCAGGUUGAAGGUUGGGUAACACUAACUGGAGGACCGAACCGACUAAUGUUGAAAAAUUAGCGGAUGACCUGUGGCUGGGGGUGAAAGGCCAAUCAAACCGGGAGAUAGCUGGUUCUCCCCGAAAGCUAUUUAGGUAGCGCCUCGUGAAUUCAUCUCCGGGGGUAGAGCACUGUUUCGGCUAGGGGGCCAUCCCGGCUUACCAACCCGAUGCAAACUGCGAAUACCGGAGAAUGUUAUCACGGGAGACACACGGCGGGUGCUAACGUCCGUCGUGAAGAGGGAAACAACCCAGACCGCCAGCUAAGGUCCCAAAGUCAUGGUUAAGUGGGAAACGAUGUGGGAAGGCCCAGACAGCCAGGAUGUUGGCUUAGAAGCAGCCAUCAUUUAAAGAAAGCGUAAUAGCUCACUGGUCGAGUCGGCCUGCGCGGAAGAUGUAACGGGGCUAAACCAUGCACCGAAGCUGCGGCAGCGAACGUAUCACUUAAAGCGAUUCAGCGGGUUACGAUUGACGGAGCGAAGCGACGUCAAAGCGUAUACAAAGUCGAGUCGGUUUAAGGAUACGUUCGUUGGGUAGGGGA